rnacentral:rRNA from 1 species
AUGAACGCUGGCGGCGUGCCUAAUACCUGCAAGUCGAGCGAACAGACGAGGAGCUUGCUCCUCUGACGUUAGCGGCGGACGGGUGAGUAACACGUGGAUAACCUACCUAUAAGACUGGGAUAACUUCGGGAAACCGGAGCUAAUACCGGAUAAUAUAUUGAACCGCAUGGUUCAAUAGUGAAAGACGGUUUUGCUGUCACUUAUAGAUGGAUCCCCGCCGCAUUAGCUAGUUGGUUAGGUAACGGCUUACCAAGGCAACGAUGCGUAGGCCACCUGAGAGGGGGAUUGGGCACACUGGAACUGAGAACCGGUCCAGACUCCUACGGGGGGGAGGAGGGGGGGAUUUUCCGGAAUGGGGGAAAGGCUUACGGAGCAAACCCCCGGGAGGUAAGAAGGUCUUUGGAUUGGAAAAACCUUUUUUUAGGGAAAAAAAAAAGGUGAAGGAAACAUGGACGGUUUGAAGGGAACCAAACAAAAAAGCCCGGGCAAACUAGGG